CCUACGGGUGGCUGCAGUGAGGAAUAUUGGUCAAUGGACGAGAGUCUGAACCAGCCAAGUAGCGUGAAGGAUGACUGCCCUAUGGGUUGUAAACUUCUUUUAUAUGGGAAUAAAAUGUUCCAAGUGUGGGAUCUUGUAUGUACCAUAUGAAUAAGGAUCGGCUAACUACGUACCAGCAGACGCGGUAAUACGGAGGAUCCGAGCGUUGUCCGGAUUUGUUGGGUUUAAAGGGAGCGUAGGUGGUUUGUUAAGUUAGUUGUGAAAGUUUGCGGCUCAACCGGAAAAUUGCAGUUGAAACUGGGAGUCUUGAGGACAGUAGAGGUGGGCGGAAUUCGUGGUGUAGCGGUGAAAUGCUUAGAUAUCACGAAGAACUCCGAUUGCGAAGGCAGCUCACUGGACUGCAACUGACACUGAGGCUCGAAAGUGUGGGUAUCAAACAGGAUUAGAUACCCUGGUAGUC
rnacentral:rRNA from 1 species